rnacentral:tmRNA from 3 species
GGGGUCGACUGGUUUUGACAGCUUGUGUGUGGAUUUGUAAGCAUGUCGGAGGUUGUGAGACGGUUCCGUUAAAAACUAACUCUCCAAGCCAAUAAAUGGCAACAACAAUUAUGCCUACGCAGCGUAAGCUGUCGCGGCUUCCGGAUCAUAGUCAAGGACUAUAGAACCGGAUGUUUCCCCAAAAGCUCCGCCAACCGGCGUUUGGUACGAAACAUCAUAAAUGGUUGACUAGCAGCCCCGCGCUUCGGCGGGUGAGUGAAAAUUUAGAAGAUAAGCGAUGGUUUGGUCUGUCUUGUACCUGCCCACCGCCGACAAGUAAACAGUGACUAAGCAUGUAGAAAGCACUUUUGCAGCGAGUUUGGACGCGGGUUCGAAUCCCGCCGGCUCCACUG